UCGCUGAAGGAUCGGCCCGCGUCUGAUUAGCUAGUUGGUGGGGUAAUGGCCCACCAAGGCGACGAUCAGUAGCUGGUCUGAGAGGAUGAUCAGCCACAUUGGGACUGAGACACGGCCCAA
rnacentral:rRNA from 1 species